CAGCUGGUGGAGACUCUAGGGAGGCCGAUGCAGAAGUGAUGGGGGUCACAUGGAGCACGGAUAAGUUGGGGGUUCAGAUGACAGCAUCCCAAUUGAAAGUACCCAGUUGAAGUUGACGUCCCAGGCAUGUGUGGGUGUGGACCAGUAUGGGCAUCAGACAGAUGAGGCCAAGGAGGUACCGAGAGGAUAAAUAAUUUGUCCAGGAUCACACAUGCUUGAGUCAGGGUGGGAACUAAGUCUGUUGCUCUUAACUGUUUACCUGUCUGGUAUACAGUCAGCAAAGGGAAGAAUGACGAAGAGGACAAGAAACCGAUUUCUAUUUGUUCUGCUCAGGGGUCAGCAUUCCAUAUCCACAUGCACUGUGCUGCGUGUGUGCUGCAUGUGUGUAUGUGUGUGUGUGUGUGUAUGUGUGCACACACGAUCAGGAAAUGUUCACAUUAAAAAACCAGAUCC